rnacentral:tRNA from 1 species
GCCUGGCUGGCUCAGUUAGUAGAGCAUGCAACUCUUGAUCUCGGGGUCAUGAGUUCGAGCCCCAUGUUGGGUG